rnacentral:rRNA from 1 species
CGGAGGGGGCAAGCGUUGUUCGGAAUUAUUGGGCGUAAAGGGCUCGUAGGCGGACCAGUUAGUCUGGCGUGAAAUCUCCAUCGCUUAACGAGGAGAGGUCGCUGGAAACUGCUGGUCUGGAGUACGGCAGAGGACCAUGGAAUUCCAGGUGUAGCGGUGGAAUGCGUAGAUAUCUGGAAGAACACCGGUGGCGAAGGCGGUGGUCUGGGCCGUGACUGACGCUGAGGAGCGAAAAGCCAGGGGAGCGAACGGGAUUAGAUACCCCGGUAGUCCUGGCUGUAAACGUUGGAUACUAGGUGUGGGGGGUAUCGACCCUCCCGUGCCGAGUUAACACAUUAAGUAUCCCGCCUGGGGAGUACGGCCGCAAGGUUG